rnacentral:rRNA from 1 species
UACGUAGGGUGCAAGCGUUGUCCGGAAUUAUUGGGCGUAAAGAGCUCGUAGGCGGUCUGUCGCGUCGGACGUGAAAACCCAGGGCUCAACCCUGGGCCUGCGUUCGAUACGGGCAGACUAGAGUUCGGUAGGGGAGACUGGAAUUCCUGGUGUAGCGGUGAAAUGCGCAGAUAUCAGGAGGAACACCGGUGGCGAAGGCGGGUCUCUGGGCCGAAACUGACGCUGAGGAGCGAAAGCCAGGGGAGCAAACGGG